rnacentral:rRNA from 1 species
UACGGGGGGUGCGAGCGUUGUCCGGAAUCACUGGGCGUAAAGGGCGCGUAGGUGGCGUGAUAAGGGUGUGGUGAAAGCCCGGGGCUCAACCCCGGGUCUGCCAUGCCGACUGUCAGGCUGGAGUACUGUAGGGGCAGGCGGAAUUCCGGGUGUAGCGGUGAAAUGCAUUGAGAUCGGAAAGAACACCAACGGCGAAAGCACUCUGCUGGGCCGACACUGACACUGAGAGAUCGAAAGCUAGGGGAGCAAAUGGG